rnacentral:rRNA from 1 species
CAGUAGCCGCGGUAAUACGUAGGGUGCAAGCGUUAAUCGGAAUUACUGGGCGUAAAGCGUGCGCAGGCGGUUAUAUAAGACAGAUGUGAAAUCCCCGGGCUCAACCUGGGAACUGCAUUUGUGACUGUAUAGCUAGAGUACGGCAGAGGGGGGUGGAAUUCCGCGUGUAGCAGUGAAAUGCGUAGAUAUGCGGAGGAACACCGAUGGCGAAGUCAAUCCCCUGGGCCUGUACUGACGCUCAUGCACGAAAGCGUGGGGAGCAAACAGGAUUAGAUACCCCUGUAGUCCCUGUCUCUUAUAC